GUGAAGCAAGUAAGGGCUUAUGGUGAAUGCCUUGGCGCCAAGUGCCGAAGAAGGACGUGGGUCACUGCGAAAAGCCUCGGGGAGCCGUGAACAGGCGUUGAUCCGGGGAUGUCCGAAUGGGGAAACCCGCUGGAGCGCACCUCCAGCACUGGCUGUUGAACACAUAGGCAGUCAGAGGGAACCUGGGGAACUGAAACAUCUCAGUACCCAGAGGAAAAGAAAGGAUUCCCUGAGUAGUGGCGAGCGAAAGGGGAAGAGCCCAAACCAGGCGGUACGCCGUCUGGGGUUGUAGGGCCUGGCAAAAAGGACGGGAGACGUUAGCAGAAAGGUGUGGGAAAGCCUACCAAAGAGGGUGAUAGUCCCGUACGCGAAAACGUUGAACGUUCUGUCAGGAACCUGAGUACUGCCGGGCACGCUAAUCCGGCAGGAAGCUGGGGAGUCCACUCUCCAAGGCUAAAUACGCUUGGCGACCGAUAGUGAACUAGUACCGUGAGGGAAAGGUGAAAAGUCCCCCGUUGAGGGGAGUGAAAGAGAACCUGAAACCGUAAGCCUACAAGCAGUCGGAGGGCAAUGGCAGGUCGGUGCUCUGGGGAAACCCAGGUGCGCGCUGUCAGGCCUGACGGCGUGCCUCUUGGAGAAUGAGCCUGCGAGUUAAUCUCUGUGGCGAGGUUAAGGAAGGAACAUCCGAAGCCGGAGCGAAAGCGAGUCUGAAUAGGGCGGUGAGUCGCAGGGAUUAGACACGAAACCGGGUGAGCUACCCAUGGCCAGGGUGAAACGGGUGUAACAGCCCGUGGAGGCCCGCACCUACUAAUGUUACAAAAUUAGGGGAUGAGCUGUGGGUAGGGGUGAUAUGCCAAACGAACUCGGAGAUAGCUUGUUCUCCCCGAAAUAGCUUUCGGGCUAGCGUCUGGUGUUCAGUCGCGGAGGUAGAGCACUGAAUGGGCUAGGGGGCUUAAUGCUUACCAAACCCAAUCAAACUCCGAAUGCCGCGACUUAUGAGCCAGACAGUCGGACUACGGGUGAUGAGAUUCGUGGUCGAAAGGGAAACAGCCCAGAUCAUCGGCUAAGGUCCCCCAAUUCAAGCUAAGUGGGAAACGAUGUGGGGUUACAGGAACAACCAGGAGGUUGGCUUAGAAGCAGCCAUCCUUUCAAGAGUGCGUAAUAGCUCACUGGUCUAGUGAUCCUGCGCGGAAAACGUAACGGGGCUAAGCUUGAUACCGAAGCCAUGGGAUGCGGCGCGAGCCGCAUCGGUAGGGGAGCGUUCUGCCAGCGGAGAAGGUCGACCGGAAGGACGGCUGGAGCGGGCAGAAGUGAGAAUGCAGGCAUGAGUAGCGUAAAACACGUGAGAACCGUGUUCACCGAAAGUCUAAGGUUUCCAACGCCAGGUCCGUCCGCGUUGGGUUAGUCAGGGCCUUAGCCGAGGCCGAAAGGCGUAGGCGAUGGAUACCCGGUCAACAAUCCGGGACCACUCUACGGGAGCGAUGCGGGGACGCAGACAGGCAGGCCAGCCCGCGAAUGGUCGUGCGGGUGCACCCGAUGGCAGGCGAUGAGAGGGGUAGGGAAGACCGCUCCUUGAGCUGAGAUUGGGUGGCGAGCCACUAAGGCGUAAGUGAGUUGAGCCUGGCUGCCGAGAAAAGCCGCUAAGCGUUGAAGGUAGAGUGCCUGUACCGCAAACCGACACUGGUAGACGAGUGGAGUACACUCAGGUGAACGGGAGAACCUUCGUCAAGGAAUUAGGCAAAUUGACCCCGUAACUUCGGGAGAAGGGGUGCCCCUGCGGGUGGCUGAAAAGGUAGCCUGCGGGGGUCGCAGCAAAGCGGCUCUAGUGACUGGUUAACAAAACCACAGGUCUCUGCGAAGUCGAAAGACGCAGUAUAGGGGCUGACGCCUGCCCAGUGCCGGAAGGUUAAAGGGAGAGGUAAGCGCAAGCGAAGCUUCGAACUGAAGCCCCGGUGAACGGCGGCCGUAACUAUAACGGUCCUAAGGUAGCGAAAUUCCUUGUCGGGUAAGUUCCGACCCGCACGAACGGCGUAACAACUAGAGCACUGUCUCGACGAAGGACCCGGCGAAAUUGAAAUGGCUGUGAAGAUGCGGCCUACCCGCAGCAGGACAAAAAGACCCCGUGGAGCUUUACUGCACCCUGGCAUUGCGUUUGGGCAUGCUUUGUGUAGGAUAGGUGGGAGGCUGAGAAGCUGGCGCGUCAGCGUCGGUGGAGCCGACGGUGAAAUACCACCCUGAGCAUGUUUAGACCCUAACGGCUGGCCCUCAACGGGCAGCCGGACCGUGCCAGGCAGGCAGUUUGACUGGGGCGGUCGCCUCCCAAAAGGUAACGGAGGCGCCCAAAGGUUCCCUCAGGUUGAAUGGAAACCAACCGGAGAGUGCAAAGGCAGAAGGGAGCUUGACUGCAAGACCAACGCGUCGCGCAGAGACGAAAGUCGGGCUUAGUGAUCCCACGGUACUGAGUGGCAGGGCCGUGGCUUACCGGACAAAAGCUACCCCGGGGAUAACAGGCUGGUGAAGUCCAAGAGUUCACAUCGACGACUUCGCUCGGCACCUCGAUGUCGGCUCAUCGCAUCCUGGGGCUGGAUAAGGUCCCAAGGGUCGGGCUGUUCGCCCGUUAAAGCGGUACGCGAGCUGGGUUCAGACCGUCGUGAGACAGGUCGGUCUCUAUCCGCUGUGGGCGU
rnacentral:rRNA from 1 species